UUGGCUUCACUUCAGUCGCUCCCUUCAGGUACGUCUCUAACUUCAACUCUUUUAUUAGGUUCUCUAUACAAUAUAAUAGCCAAUUCAAUGUUACAGACAAUGAUAAAGAUAUGAAGGCCUGAAGGGUUGUGACUGGGUGUUGUUGUUGGUCGAAGACGAAGCAGUUGGCGAUGUUGAUCAUGGCGCCGAUUACGUCCAUCUUUGAAGCUCUAAUAUCUGUGAGUAAGAUUAGAUUUAUCUUUCUUCCUCCCUAUAUAUCAUUCUUGUAUAGCUUGAUUAAUCUAAGGUCUUAUUUUCUGCUGAAUCUAAAUGUGAGAUGUCGUAGUGUAUGUAAUUUGGGGUAAUUUCAAUUGCCCUCUUAUUCAUUUGAUUAUUUGUGCAAUUGUUAAACCCUGAAUUGAGAAUGUUUUCUUCUAAUUAGUUUUCAGAAACAAAAUAAAAGUUUGAUCGAUUUGGGUCUGUGCUGCCAUAUUUUGGUUCCACGUUUCAGGUUGGAGUCUCAACUUCCACAAGAUAAGGGGAGCUUGCACUGGAAGGAGAUCAUUAUUUGACAACAGGGGAGCUUUGUGAUCCAGAAGAAUACGGUUCAUG